CCCUCCUUGAAGGACAUACCUUUUGCUAUGUGUCUGACAGCCUUUGCAGACCUCAGAUACGGAGGAGGACAUAGACUAAAAUUACUCCAGAUAAAUGCUUUCUAUAAAUGUCCAGUUCUUUUCAUUCAGUACUAAAUCAAAUUUUUUUUUUAAUUGUCCUUUGGAGUAAUCUUAAGGGAUAUAUGGGCAGCAAUAUAUAUACAUGUAUAUAUAAUAUAUAUUUUAAAAUUUCAAACUGCUUAUUAAUAGCAAUGCAGAGCAAUAUUCUUAUUGUUAUCAUCUCUUGCUCAACUUCAGUUUCAACUAUUACUCAAGUUUUCUUUUUGAUGUUUAAUAUUAACCUUCCUCAGAACAGGGGCUGGUGGCUCUGUGGUUGGGAGCCAUUGUUUGAGUGGAAUUGGAGUGAGUCCAGUGCUGGGAGAGGGGACAGCUAGCAGUGUGCUGACCCUUGCUUGUUGGACAAUACCAUCCUCAGAAAUGCUGUCAAAGUAUCCUAUAAAAAAUAAGGAACUGAAAAGCCCCCACUGGUCCCUUUUGUUCUCAGCAGCAGGACAAAGCCAUUGCAGGUGUAUCGUGUCUGUGUUCAGUGCUGCUGAGGGCUGAUACAGAGGCAGCACAGCAAGAAAUGAGCACGCACCCAGAAUCCCAGUUCACCAUUCUGGCCCACCCCGGUCUGGGUUUCCAAACCUCUUCCUUCUCACAGUUGGAGAUUCUUUGACUAGUAAUUUUUGCUGGGGUCAUUUUCUUGGAAGACUGCAAAUUGAGCCAAAAUAAAGGGAAAUAACAGUGUGGAGCUGUUUUGUAGUCCGCUAAAAGCAAGAGAACUAGAUCUGGAUAGCAAAUCAUUGCCUUUUUGAGAUGUAGAAGGGAAAAGUCCUGUAGCAGUAGUAACUCUGUAGCUGUUGGUGAGGUGAAAUGUACCAAAGCAGGAACCUCUUCAUUGCAUCUGCUUUGGUACCUGCUGCUUCCCGAGUCAGUAAAUUAUCCUUUUACUCAGUAUGCUUUAACCAGCUCAGGAGUAAGCAAUGUCUACUUAAGACCCUAACAGUUUUCAUAAAAUAAGUCAAAGUUGGUGCUAGUAAACCCAAACUGAGGAUUUCCAUAAAGAGGCGGGGAAGGUGCAGAUUCUGUUAAGUCACUUCUUACUUUCUUUUGAUACACUUUUUGUAGCCCUUUCCUCUGAGACUGCUGCAGAAGUUUGAAGUAUUAGAUGUGGAUGUUUUGCCCACCUGUAUUUCUGGAGAAAUGAGUGGUUAUUAUUUAAAUCACCUGUCAGUAUCAAUUUAGGGUUGAUUUUACCUCCUGCAGUUUUGGUGUCUCUGUCUCAAAGCCUGCGGAGAAGGCAGUGUGUCACUGUGAGAGGAGCAGGAAUGUCCCUGUCUCAGUAGACUGGAUCUUAGAGGGUUUGUGUGUUUCUGAAACAUGGCAGAUGUUCCGGGGAACCAGCAGAGCUGACUGAAGUUCUUUGGAGGUGAUUUACCAGGAGCAUGGAGAGGUUGGGAUUCUCUGCUCUUCAUUUUGCACAAUUCCUUUUUGUGUGGAGGAGUGGCAUCAGCUGGAGCCCUGGGGUGGGUGAGACCUGGGGUGAUUUGGGGCAUGAAGUCCUUGUAAGGACCGUGCUGGCUGCAGCAGAGAUGCAAGGGCAGAAGGCAAACAAUGCUGGUGUACUUUUUGUUGAGUGUUUUAGCCAUGAAAAUGGCACAGGAUGCUGCAGGUGGCAGGUAUGAUACAGAAGAGCUUGACAAGGUUUGGUUUGGGAGUUCAGCAUUGGUUUGCUGUUUGUACCCUCUGAAAUUGGCCUAACGGGGAAAUUGAAGUUGAGGGAGAAGAGAGCUGCAUGGUAUUGGGGGAGAAAUGGCCAAAGGAGAGGAAGGGAGCAGCAUGAGAUGUUGCCUAGUGUGGACAGCUGGACAAGUGACCUGUGUGUUGGAGGGAUGAGCUCCAUGGUGAGAUGUCCAUGUGCUGAAUCACAGCUGAGUCAACUGGAAAGACAAAAAGAACUUGGGAUAUCACAUAAAGGAUGGAAAAAAUGGCUUUCCAGGAGAGAGAGAAUCUGAAGCUCGGGCUGUACUUCUCCUGGUAACACAGUCUUUUAUCGCCUCUUUUGAUCAAAAAUGCCUUUGCAAGAAAAGGAUAAGGAACACUAUGCAGAUUUCCAGCCCAUCAGAGAAGGUUAUAAGGUUUUAUGUUGGAAAUAAAGGCUGGAUAAGUAGGAAACAAGGUGAUUCUUACGCCUUUUGUGUUUUGGUUUUUUUAACUGGAACAAACUAGUACGGAGAUGUUAGGGUGGGCUGUCUCACCUGAGCUUAGUUUUGGGAAAAGCUGUUGUUGUUUUGGGAAAAGUGGUCCCUUGUGGUGGUCAGAAAUGAGGGGCUGGGGGUGGCAGGAUUUGUACCUUCACUUCUGCCUUGUCUCUGGGGAUUAUUGUAAAGAGAAAUGCCUCCCUAAAGGAUUUCAUACAGAAGUGGGAGUGAAGGGAGUUGUCCCACGAUGAAAAAUACAUUAAACAAUUUUUAAAAAAUACAAAAUGUUAACUAUACAUUUAAAUAGAAAAAUACAUUUUUUAAUUUAAAAUUUUCUCUUACUGUUCACCCACUGUUAUGAAUAUGCAGGGCAGUUGUGUGGCUUACUCAAAAUCUUCUCUUUCCCCCUGGAACAGAGGACUCACUUCCCUAAGUUAUCUCUUUUUUACUCAAGACUCCUUCUACCACUAGCAAAUUGUUUGCUGUGAGUAAAAGAUAUUAUUUUUUAACUAAGUGAAAGCUACUCUUUAAGGCUGGAAAUAGAAGAGAAACUGGUAGUGUGUUUUAAUAAGAGUGAGUGGUUUUCUUUUCAUCCUCUGCCAUCAGAGGUGUAGACAGCAAUAAUGUAAUCGGCAUGUAAAUGAAAACUUCAUAUUGUGCUUUGUUUCUAGGGAAGUUACCAGUCCAUUUGCCUGCAAAUCCUGGUUAAUCAUUUUAGAAAUCUGGGGGAGACCUUUCAAAAGGGGAGGAGCCUUCAUCCAAGGUGUCACAGGAGCAUUGAAAUGCACCUUUUCAAAUGGUUUUAUGAAGCAUGGAAAUGCAGGUAGAUUCUCAUCAGCAGCAGUUUAAAAUGCAGUAGGAAAUAUUAGAACUGAGGUCAAACUGCCUGAGUGAUUUCUCUCUGUGGUCUUUGUGAAGAUAUGAUGAAAUAGUCAUUUUUACAGGUAAUUUUGGUUAGCAUUAGUCAAGGAAUAAGCUUAGGAAUAUGAGCUGCCUUCUGUGCAAAGAAUACUGAAUAUUGUGUACUUAAAGACACUAUUUGGAGGUGCCUGAGAAUGAAGGGCUUGCCAAAAAUGUUUUCUAUUCUCCAUGCUGUGUGUUGCUCCACAGGUUUUACAAAACAAAACAUUACCCCCAAAAAGCUGAAACAUGUUCCCAGUGCAUAGAGAGGUUGUUUCUGAAAACACACAGGUCUGUGUCACUGGGUGACGGGAGCUGGGGGCUUGGACACCUUCAGCAGCAUCUGAACCUCUGCUGGCAUUUCCUGACUCAUGGGCUUGGGUGUGCUGCUGGGAGCAGCCAGGCUGGACAUGGUCACGAUGGCAAAACCAAGCCAUAGCCCCUUCACUGUGUCUUCCCUCUCUGUUGGAUUGGGAAAAUAAUAAAAAAUUAAUCUGUAUUUGAACCUA